rnacentral:snRNA from 1 species
AUGCUGUUGUUUCUUUUCCAAGCGUACAUAUCUUUCACCUUUUACUAAAGAUUUCCAUGGACAGAAGCGGUAUUGAGUUUAUAGAGAAUUUUUUUAAGCUUUGUUCUUCCGACGCU